UACGUAGGGAGCAAGCGUUGUCCGGAAUCAUUGGGCGUACAGCGCGCGUAGGCGGCCCUGUACGUCCGUUGUGAAAGUCAAAGGCUCAACCUUUGAAAGCCGAUGGAUACUGCAGGGCUAGAGUCCGGAAGAGGCGAGUGGAAUUCCUGGUGUAGCGGUGGAAUGCGCAGAUAUCAGGAGGAACACCAAUAGCGAAGGCAGCUCGCUGGGACGGUACUGACGCUAAGGCGCGAAAGCGUGGGGAGCGAACAGG
rnacentral:rRNA from 1 species